GCAUAUCAAUAAGCGGAGGAAAAGAAACCAACAGGGAUUGCCCCAGUAACGGCGAGUGAAGCGGCAACAGCUCAAAUUUGAAAUCUGGCCCCUCGGGCCCGAGUUGUAAUUUGUAGAGGAUGCUUUUGGCAAGGUGCCGCCCGAGUUCCCUGGAACGGGACGCCGCAGAGGGUGAGAGCCCCGUCUGGCUGGCCGCCGAGCCUCUGUAAAGCUCCUUCGACGAGUCGAGUAGUUUGGGAAUGCUGCUCAAAAUGGGAGGUAUAUGUCUUCUAAAGCUAAAUAUUGGCCAGAGACCGAUAGCGCACAAGUAGAGUGAUCGAAAGAUGAAAAGCACUUUGAAAAGAGGGUUAAACAGUACGUGAAAUUGUUGAAAGGGAAGCGCUCAUGACCAGACUUGGGCUUGGCGGAUCAUCCGGCGUUCUCGCCGGUGCACUUCGCCUCGCCCAGGCCAGCAUCAGUUCGCGCCGGGGGACAAAAGCUUCGGGAAUGUGGCUCCUCCGGGAGUGUUAUAGCCCGUUGCAUAAUACCCUGGUGCGGACUGAGGUUCGCGCAUCUGCAAGGAUGCUGGCGUAAUGGUCAUCAGCGACCCGUCUUGAA
rnacentral:rRNA from 1 species